AAAAUAGGAAGAACAAAACAAUUAAAAUUGCAGGGUUUUCAGUUGAUAAGGCAAUAGCAUCCAUUUUUAUGGCAGGCUUCUUAGAUGGAAUGGCAAACAAAGCUAAUUGAUAUGGGAACGACUUCAGGUGAUAGGGAAAUCAAAUGCCUUUUAUUGUGAUGUUCUCAGAUGAUAUUGUCAUAGUUGCCAUUGAUAUUGUACAUGACCUCCCAGCGUACGUGCAAAUACGUUCAGUAACAACGGCUACUAUGACAAUAUCAUCUGAUGACAUUUCAAUAAAAGGUAUUUGAUUCCCCUGUCAUCUGAAUUCUUUUCUACAUCAACUAGCUUUGGACUAAAGACUAUCCAGUUACGGGAAGAAACAAGUCACAAAUUGCACCUAUUGACAGGCCGAGGACUCUGGAGGUUGUAUUGCCAACUAAGAGGAAGCAAUAACACCAAACACAACACUUAUUGACAUUAUGGAAGAUUUACAGAAACACGUAGAUGACAAUAACACAUGUUACCAUAUCAAUGUGCAACGGCCAAAUGAAUAUAAUAUCCUAAGGACUAGAUCCAUUUAAGCAUGCGCUUGUUUGCGUUUCCCUUGUGCCCAAACCACCAUUACCAACGUCCUAACUGAUCGUAUUAGUAACAUUCAUCUUUUUUUUUUCAGAGUAAAUGCGAAUCCCAUUUUCGGUGUCUUGCAGCCAAUUUCGCGCUAAACGACUCUUAUCAGUGCAAUAACGUUAGAUUUAAAACCGACCUGAGACACAUUUUCGCAACGUAAAAGGUUGAUGUGUGAGGUGUAACUUUACCAUUAACUUCGCCCGGCACACUUGAAUGGGCGAAAAGAAUCGUUACACGCGCAUUUGGAUGGUGAUUUUCAAAUGGCAUCGAAUGGGAUUCGUUUUUUUAUUAUUUUUUGUCGACGAAGUAACGACUGUUGCAGUGCGGAGAGGACCUGGUCAACUGACUUCGAUUUCGACAGGAAAGCGCACAAUUUAUGUGUCACUGGAGAGAGUGUCAUUUAAAUGCUGCCCCUGAGUGUAGUGCGUUGGCCACUUUCGCGACCAUUCAUCGACGCCAGCCCGACGCAUCCCGCCGUCGAUUUUGAUUUUACAGAUGAGAAACGUGAUUUAUUGGAAAGCAUGCACCAGACCAGCACGGUGUGGCGGGCGUGGGAAAAAACCAUUCCACAGCGUACGACCGGCCCCCUGAGGAACUGUUCAACGAGCCUCACCAAUCUUUGCCCCUAGGGUUGCAAGGUUGCUAUGAAAGGGUAACCCGGAAAAGCGAGCCCACCGGAACUGAGCGCCAGGUCCACUUGGGAUAGUUUGAUCAUUUUAAUUGCGAUAAUGAAUUCUCAGCCGUGUACUUUAUGCUCUCGCACCAUCAACUUCCUUCGCCGAGCCACGUUCCCAUGUUUCUGCCGCUUACACAGUUUGUACCCACACACACACUCACACACCCGCACGUAUGUAUGUGUGUGUAUCUAAUUUACUUUUGUAAAAUUAUUUUAAUAAUCCGAUUUAAAACGGAUUACCACGUACGCCCGUACGUGACUGGUUGCAAUUGCUGGAGUUGCGCUACCGUACCACGAUGCGCUCCGGGUCUUCGCCCGGCCUGGCAGAGGCGUUCCUGCUAAGCGGAUGUAGCGGCAUAAAAGGAUUUAGUUCCGGUUUGUUUACGGCGUAGCGCUGAUGAAGGGUAGCCGAGCUUUGGGUUAGAAUCGUGGUCACCGUCUAAUGAGGGAGCAACGUAGAGAGGAGUGGUUGUGAAGCGGCGGGCUUAAUUUGUACGUUCUUGUUGAGAAACUAUUGAAAAAUGUGUUUUAAAGUGAAGAACCUUUUAUGUUUUAAAAUAUACAAAAAUUGUUUCAGCUUAAAUCCUAACAGUUAAAAUCACUAUGAAGGUCACUUUCAAACCUCUAGAAAACAACUUCAAAUUCAACAUUAUUUCUAAACCCAUUAAAGUUCCCAUCCAUCAACAACCGUAAGUGCUUUCGCAGUUUAAACUUCAGCAAAAGUGAAACAAACGGCGCGCACAUGUAGCAAUAAACCAUCACCACGCACCGAAAAGCAUUAAAGUCACAAGAAAUAGAUAAAAUUCGUACGUCAUGUCAUGCCCCAACCGAGCCGUGGCGUACGCAAACCCGUCCGUAUGUGCCACAAA